rnacentral:rRNA from 1 species
UACGUAGGUGGCAAGCGUUGUCCGGAUUUACUGGGCGUAAAGGGCGUGCAGGCGGUCUGUUAAGUUCAGGGUGAAAGCUCCCGGCUCAACUGGGAGAGGUCCUUGGAUACUGGCAGACUUGAGGGAGGUAGAGGAGAGUGGAAUUCCCGGUGUAGUGGUGAUAUGCGUAGAUAUCGGGAGGAACACCAGUGGCGAAGGCGGCUCUGUGGGCCUUUCCUGACGCUGAGACGCGAAAGCGUGGGGAGCGAACCGG